rnacentral:rRNA from 1 species
UACGUAGGGCGCAAGCGUUGUCCUGAAUUAUUGGGCGUAAAGAGCUCGUAGGCGGCCAGUUGCGUCUGCUGUGAAAUCCCGGGGCUCAACCCCGGGCGUGCAGUGGGUACGGGCUGGCUAGAGGCAGGCAGGGGAGAACGGAAUUCCCGGUGUAGCGGUGAAAUGCGCAGAUAUCGGGAGGAACACCGGUGGCGAAGGCGGUUCUCUGGGCCUGCACUGACGCUGAGGAGCGAAAGCGUGGGGAGCGAACAGG